UGCCGGGUAAUACUUUCUUUCGCAUGAAGGAAAGUUGAAAGAUGGCUUCUCGCUAUCACUUACAGAUGGGCCCGCGGCGCAUUAGCUAGUUGGUGAGGUAACGGCUCACCAAGGCGACGAUGCGUAGCCGACCUGAGAGGGUGAUCGGCCACACUGGGACUGAGACACGGCCCAGACUCCUACGGGAGGCAGCAGUAGGGAAUCUUCCGCAAUGGACGAAAGUCUGACGGAGCAACGCCGCGUGAACGAUGAAGGUCUUCGGAUCGUAAAGUUCUGUUGUUAGGGAAGAACAAGUACCGUGCGAAUAGAGCGGUACCUUGACGGUACCUAACGAGGAAGCCCCGGCUAACUACGUGCCAGCAGCCGCGGUAAUACGUAGGGGGCAAGCGUUGUCCGGAAUUAUUGGGCGUAAAGCGCGCGCAGGCGGUUCCUUAAGUCUGAUGUGAAAGCCCACGGCUCAACCGUGGAGGGUCAUUGGAAACUGGGGAACUUGAGGACAGAAGAGGAGAGUGGAAUUCCACGUGUAGCGGUGAAAUGCGUAGAUAUGUGGAGGAAC
rnacentral:rRNA from 1 species